rnacentral:rRNA from 1 species
GACGAACGCUGGCGGCGUGCCUAAUACAUGCAAGUAGAACGCUGAAGAGAGGAGCUUGCUCUUCUUGGAUGAGUUGCGAACGGGUGAGUAACGCGUAGGUAACCUGCCUUGUAGCGGGGGAUAACUAUUGGAAACGAUAGCUAAUACCGCAUAACAAUGGAUGACACAUGUCAUUUAUUUGAAAGGGGCAAUUGUUCCACUACAAGAUGGACCUGCGUUGUAUUAGCUAGUAGGUGGGGUAAUGGCUCACCUAGGCGACGAUACAUAGCCGACCUGAGAGGGUGGACGGCCACACUGGGACUGAGACACGGCCCAGACUCCUACGGGAGGCAGCAGGAGGGAAACUUCGGCAAUGGGGGCAACCCUGACCGAGCAACGCCGCGUGAGUGAAGAAGGUUUUCGGAUCGUAAAGCUCGGUUGUAAGUCAAGAACGGGUGUGAGAGUGGAAAGUUCACACUGUGACGGUAGCUUACCAGAAAGGGACGGCUAACUACGUG